GCUGGUUAUCAGUCAUUGCUUCCUUUGCUAGGGAGAUGCAAGAUGUCCCAGCAAGUUAGAAAUAGUUUCACACUGUCAUGGCCACCUGUCAUGGACCUGUCUGCCCCGACUAUCUCCUUCAGAUGGACUGAAUUGCCACGAGGUGUGGUCCUAAACACAUCCUCCCUCCCUUAACUGUGAGGCAUUUGUCAUAUCUAGUGGCCCAGUUCACUUCCUGUUGUCUUCAAGUUGCAAGAUGUAGAACCCUCAGCUAUCUCUCCAGCACCAUAUCUGCCUACAAGCUGCUAAGUCCCGCCAUGAUGAUAAUGGACGGAACCUCUGAACUUUGCUCAGGAGCCUGAGGCAGGAG
rnacentral:lncRNA from 1 species